CAGACGCUGCUGACCAGAUUCUGAGGUCAAACCUUAUUGGAUUCCAGGUGGGUUUGUGACUGCAGGGCAGUGCAGCGGUUUGAGCGGCGAGGUCGAGCUUUAAAGGACGAGGCGGUCAGAAAUAAUCAGAAACAGCAGAGUGAUGGCCAGUCGUUUAGACUCCAGCAUCAGCGGGUCGGAGGUCCAGAAGAAAAAGGAACAAAUUGAAGAGGCCAAAAAAGAGCUGAAGGAAGCGAAGAAAGCGCAUAAAGACGCUCAGUCUGACAAAUCCAAGAAGUAAGGAGUCUUUUAAAUGCUCCUGGACUCAAGGUUAGAGCCGAUGAUCCUCUGCCAGCAGCGUUUGUGCUGUAAAAGCAU